CACAUAUCAAGUUGAGAGGAGCAUGUAUUUCUCCUCCCCCUGAAUGUAGGGUGGCUUUUCAGCAACAGAGUGCAGAAAAGGAGGCGUUAAGAGACCACUAGCUUCUCUACCCUUGAAAUGUUCAUGUUUAGGGUAUUCCCUUUCAGAAACCGGACACAUUGAGAGGUCACAUGGAGGAAAACUUAUGAGAUCUGCUUGCCAGCAGUUCUCAGCCAACAGCGAGCAACAGCUGUCAGCCAUGUGAAGGAGCGCAUUGGAUGCUAUAGCCCACUCAAGUUCUCAGCCGACUACAGCCCUAGUUGACGCUUUGACGCCAUGUGAACAAACCAUCCAGCUGAGUCCAAUCAACUCACAGAAUGAUUAAACCCUAAGGACCAAGUCUGCCACACGACUUUCAAGAAGUUACUCAGUGAAGUGGAAGUAUGGUCAGUGACACGCAAAAGACGAACACUCGGGAAAAAAAGAAGCUGUGUUUCCUGGACAUGAAGAGGCCUGUUCCGGCCUCUUGGAGAGAGAAGCCCGGGCUUCUGCAGAGCAGCCCAGCGGUGACGUCACAACCUAGCCCCGCCCCUCCGCCUCCGGCAACGCUGGACCCGCGGAGCACACUCCCGGUCCCAGGCACGAUUAGCAAAACCUCCAGCGCAGCUGUGCACCGAGGGUGACCAAUUGAAA